UACGUAGGGGGCAAGCAUUGUCCGGAAUUAUUGGGCGUAAAGCGCGCGCAGGCGGUUUUGUAAGUCUGAUGUUUAAUCCACGAGCUCAACUCGUGUUCGCAUUGGAAACUGCAAGACUUGAGUACAGAAGAGGAAAGUGGAAUUCCACGUGUAGCGGUGAAAUGCGUAGAGAUGUGGAGGAACACCAGUGGCGAAGGCGGCCUUCUGGACUCAACUGACGCUGAAGCGCGAAAGCAUGGGGAGCGAACGGG
rnacentral:rRNA from 1 species